rnacentral:rRNA from 1 species
UACAGAGGUCUCAAGCGUUGUUCGGAUUCAUUGGGCGUAAAGGGUGCGUAGGCGGCGCGGUAAGUCGGGUGUGAAAUCUUGGAGCUUAACUCCGAAACUGCAUUCGAUACUGCAGUGCUUGAGGACUGGAGAGGAGACUGGAAUUUACGGUGUAGCGGUGAAAUGCGUAGAUAUCGUAAGGAAGACCAGUGGCGAAGGCGGCAUCCUGGACCAAUAUUGACGCUGAGGAGCGAAAGCCAGGGGAGCAAACGGG